rnacentral:rRNA from 1 species
UACGAAGGGGGCUAGCGUUGUUCGGAAUUACUGGGCGUAAAGCGCCCGUAGGCGGAUUGUUAAGUCGGGGGUGAAAUCCCGGGGCUCAACCCCGGAACUGCCUUCGAUACUGGCGAUCUCGAGUCCGGAAGAGGUUAGUGGAAUUCCCAGUGUAGAGGUGAAAUUCGUAGAUAUUGGGAAGAACACCAGUGGCGAAGGCGGCUAACUGGCUCGAUACUGACGCUGAGGUGCGAAAGCGUGGGGAGCAAACAGG